AAUCAACGCUGGCGGCGCGCCUAACACAUGCAAGUCGAACGAGAAAGGGGAGCAAUCCCUGAGUACAGUGGCGUACGGGUGAGUAACACGUGGAUGAUCUACCUUCUAGUGUGGAAUAACCCUGGGAAACCGGGGCUAAUACCGCAUAAGCUCGGGAGAGGAAAGCAGCAAUGCGCUGGAAGAGGAGUCCGCGGCCGAUUAGCUAGUUGGCAGGGUAAAAGCCUACCAAGGCGAAGAUCGGUAGCCGGCCUGAGAGGGCACACGGCCACACUGGCACUGAAACACGGGCCAGACUCCUACGGGAGGCAGCAGUGGGGAAUCUUGCACAAUGGGGGAAACCCUGAUGCAGCGACGCCGCGUGAGCGAUGAAGCCCUUCGGGGUGUAAAGCUCUUUCGGCAGGGAAGAUGAUGACGGUACCUGCAGAAGCAGCUGCGGCUAACUACGUGCCAGCAGCCGCGGUAAUACGUAGGCAGCGAGCGUUGUUCGGAGUUACUGGGCGUAAAGGGUGUGUAGGCGGUUGUUUAAGUUUGGUGUGAAAUCUCCCGGCUCAACCGGGAGGGUGCGCCGAAUACUGAAUGACUAGAGUGCGGGAGAGGAGAGUGGAAUUCCUGGUGUAGCGGUGAAAUGCGUAGAUAUCAGGAGGAACACCGGUGGUGUAGACGGCUCUCUGGACCGUAACUGACGCUGAGACACGAAAGCGUGGGUAGCAAACAGGAUUAGAUACCCUGGUAGUCCACGCCCUAAACGAUGCAUAUUUGGUGUGGGCAGUUCAUUCUGUCCGUGCCGGAGCUAACGCGUUAAAUAUGCCGCCUGGGGAGUACAGUCGCAAGGCUG
rnacentral:rRNA from 1 species